rnacentral:lncRNA from 1 species
AUACUGUUUUACCUCUGUCUGUCCUUCCGUCAGUCCGUCCGUCCGUCCCAUGAAUAUUUUUCGUCGCAUUUUUCUCAGGAACUACAAUACAAGGAUUUCUGAAAUUUGGUUUCAGGGUUUAUCUAAGUCAGCUAUACCGUGUGAUGCGUUUUCAGAUUGAUCACUUGACAACUUCCUGUUUACCGAACACUUGUAUGAUUUUACACAUGAUAGCCAAGUUGAAAAUUUUCGUCACAUUUUUCUCAGGAACUACAAUACAAGGAUUUCUGAAAUUUGGUUUCAGGAUUUAUAUAAGUCAGCUAUACCGUGUGAUGCAUUUUCAGAUUCAUCACUCGACAACUUCCUGUUUACCGAACACUUGCAUAUU